AGGGAUGUAGCUCAGUGGUAGAGUGCAUGAGGCCCCAGGUUCAAUCCCCGGCAUCUCCA
rnacentral:tRNA from 1 species